GACGAACGCUGGCGGCGUGCUUAACACAUGCAAGUCGAACGGAAAGGCCCUGCUUGCAGGGUACUCGAGUGGCGAACGGGUGAGUAAUACGUGGGUGAUCUGCCCUGCACUUCGGGAUAAGCCUGGGAAACUGGGUCUAAUACCGGAUAGGAGCCAUUUUUAGUGUGAUGGUUGGAAAGUUUUUUCGGUGUAGGAUGAGCUCGCGGCCUAUCAGCUUGUUGGUGGGGUAAUGGCCUACCAAGGCGGCGACGGGUAGCCGGCCUGAGAGGGUGGACGGCCACAUUGGGACUGAGAUACGGCCCAGACUCCUACGGGAGGCAGCAGUGGGGAAUAUUGCACAAUGGGCGCAAGCCUGAUGCAGCGACGCCGCGUGGGGGAUGACGGCCUUCGGGUUGUAAACUCCUUUCGCUAGGGACGAAGCUUUUUGUGACGGUACCUAGAUAAGAAGCACCGGCUAACUACGUG
rnacentral:rRNA from 1 species